rnacentral:lncRNA from 1 species
CGCUUCGGUCAGCAAGGUCUGCUUGAUCAGCAGACAAUUUCAGUACAAAACAAUCCAUGCCUGAGAUACACUUCUCUCCCAUGUAUUGUGACGGAGAGAAUACAGCUGAUAUUGCCAUAGGAUCUAGUCCCUGCAUGUGUUUUUCCAUCUUGAAAGUCAACAAGUUGGGAAUUUUAUGGCGCUUUAUAUAUAUAUAUAUUAGUAUAUAUGGUGUUUUAAUUACCAAUACAAGUAAUGCAUUAACUUUUAAUCUAGAGAAUUGAAAGCUAAGAGUAUAUAUAUACUUUCAAAUGGUAACAGUCAACAAUAUGAAUCUCAUGAACUGUUCGAACCAUUUAACUAUAUCUGCUCCAAGUUACACUCAAAACUUCAUGUAAUUAAGAGGCCAUCACCUCUUCAAUGACUGUCUUAGGAGGAAGAAUUUUGAAUACAACCCUAGCCUUCAUGCAUUUACUUAGCUAUGUUAAUACUAGAACAUGAACUACGUUUCUUUUUAGAUUCCCAGAAAACAAAUAUGAUGAAGAAAAUGGGUACUUGUACUGUUUCCAUGAUGAUCUCAAAUGAAUCACGUGCAGGGAGCUUGUUGGUGCCUGCAGCUUGAGCAUCAUUGUCAAAACCUACCGGUGUCUAUAUAUCUUCAAUAAACAGCUAGCAUUGGUUUCGUUUCUGACAAAAAAUGAUUUAACCGACUCCAUUAUUUGACAAAGGGGAACCAAGAUCCGGCAUCUUGGGGUGGUUGGAUCUUGAUUCCGGUAAAAUUAGGAAUGAUAUUGAACAGAGGCAAUCUAUAAUCAUCUAGUCGCAUAUAUGCUGCACUUGAAUAGGGACGCUCUCUGUCUGAUAAGUAAUUAACACAGGAUUAUUGUACUCUUUUUCAUCAGGCAAUUCAAUGUGUUCAUACUGGUUUUUUUUUUGUUUUUUUAAAUUGUAAUUUUAAGAUUUAAACGUGAAUGAAAAUAUUUAAACCUGGGAUAUUAAAAUAAAGUGAAAAUUAAUUUCAAAAAUCAUAUAUACAUGAAAUUUAAUGUCACCACUCAUAUUUAUAUGGUUGCCGUAUGAUAUCUACAUAAACAAAGACAAAAUUAUAGCCAGGAUCGAACUGGUCUUCCUAAAUAUAUAUAUAGUUGCGAGCCAAGAUUCAAAGUUAGGUCACAAUUUAUUAAUAAAUAGCCAAAAGGGCAUCGAUAAUUAUUACUCUUAUUUACUAGACAUGCAAAGCAAAAAUGAAAUAACUCUUGAUUAGUACCACUUGCCUGAAGCGCGCGGCGUAGAGGCCGAACUCCACCUUUCGCAGCAUGAGAGCCAAGCCAAGGAGUGUGGCGCCAAGCCACAUUGCCAUCACUACCAGCUACAACUUUAUGGCCUUCAACGACUAGCUCAAUUAGCCACUUG